GUCUCGGCCCGGAGUCCGGGUUUUAAGGGUUAAGUAAGAGCAGAGAUUCCCCACCAGGCCCGGUGGUUCAGCUCAGCGGGCCCGCCUGCCGCGCCUUUACCUGGUGAGGCGCUCACCUGGCCAGCCGGUGCACCGGCCUCCCCACUCCCCCGCCCCUUCCUGGGGAGGCUGCCGCCUCCCUCUUCACCCUCUAGCAGGUUCAGGGUGCUGAGCCCCGCCUGCACCGCCCAGGGCUGGGGCCCUGCGAGGUAACUGAUGGGCGGAGGUAAGAAAGGAGGAAGCGAGUUUUUGAAAAGCGAGUCUGUUCAGGCCCUCGACUCGGCUCCCCACUCGCUCCCGGGCUCCCUGGGCGCCCUCCGGGUCUCACACCUGGGCCUUGGUCGGGGUGGAGCCCAUUCCAGGUGCCUGCACCCGCGCCCGGGAUGGGGCCGCCCCGGCUCGGGUGUCUCCCCAGCUGGAGGCCCGUUCCCAGCUUUGCGGAGGACUUGCCCAAGGAAGCACCGGUUGGUGUCCUAACGACCAGGUGGCAGGGAGGUGGUCCGCCUCUGCUGAGAGCCCCAGAGCUGCUGCCCAAGGCCUGGCUCUGGGGAGGGUGAACCACAGCUUGGGAGGGCGACUCUAACCUGCGACCCUGCGUGGGGCCGCUGCCUGGAGGUUUGCUCUGGAACUGCGCUGCUGGGACCCAGCCCGAUUCUAAACACAGAGGGAGAAGGUUGCCCUUCUCCUCUCUCAACCUUACAUUGUUCUGAAUUCCAAGACCGGUCAGGCCAGGGUCCCUUUCUCCAGUGUGUGUCCAGCCCUUUGAAGUUCAAGUCCUGAGAAAAGCUGAUAGGCAGCUGGCCGGGUGUCAGAGAAUCUAGCGGAGGACAGAAGGCGCCUCCUACUGGGAAUCUGCCCUGUCCAGGAUGGAAAAUAGACACCCUGCCGGUAAUUGCAAUCAAGCUCACUUACAAACUGCUGACUUCAUGGGUACACAUGGUCCCCAUGUGUGUAUACCUACAGAGUGGUCACACGUGGGUAUUUUUUCCCGUUGUUGCUUCUUAAUGGCAACAGUUCAACAGGACCCUCGUGUCUGUAAAGAAGCCAAUUUGGGGCUGUCCUGUGAUUUGGGGGUGGGAAAGGCAUUUAGAGCAACAGAGUAAUGGUCUCCAUAAGUAUAUCAAUAACUGGUAUUCCUCACAUCCUUACUGUGGAUCAAGCACCAGGUUACCACCUGCUUCCCUUGCACCAUCUCAUUUAAUCCUCAUAACAACCCUGGAGAUGGUUAUCAGUUAUGCCCACUUUAUAGAACAGAAAGCUGAAGCUUAAAGGGUUGAGGUCAUUUGCCCAAAGUCAUACAGCUGAGAAGUGUCAGGAGCUUGACCCAAGUUGGUCCCCUCCAGAGCCUGUGCUCUCCCUGCUAUAGAAAAAUCACUUGUCAUGUUCUGGGCCCUGAGACAAGCUUCCCCUGCUUUUCCUAUCUGUCACUCAGGAAGAAGACACCAGUGUCGCACUCUGCAUAGUGGUGUAAUUUUUUACAAGUCUGCCUCCUGCUCUCCUGAGGACUGGGACCCCUGCGCCCCCAUACUGGCCCCCUGCAGGUGAGGCUAAGACUCAGAGGAGUUACGUACCUGGAUCCAUUAGCAGGUGGUAGAGCCAAGAAUUGAACCAAGGACCAAUAUGAGGAUUAGGUGAACCAGAAUGUGAAAAAGUGCCUUAUAAAUGGUCCAGUGACAUCUGAACAUGAGUCGUUUGGGGCAUUAACUUGUCCAGCUCUGAAAGUCUGGAUUUGAGGAGGACUGGAUGCUGUUCCGAGCAUUUUCUGGCGUACAUUUUGACUUGCUCUGCCUGAGUGAGCAAGUAACUAAUUUAAAAUAUUCGACUGUCUCUGGUCAGUGACUGACCACAAUCUGUUAUAAAGUAAGGCUGAAAAAUUCACUUAGAGGAAGAGAUCAUCUUGCAGAAGAACUCACAUGUGUGCUCAAGAAGAUGUGUUCAAGGAUUUCCAUUGCUGAUUAUUUAUAAUGGUGAAAAAUCAUUGUCAAGCUAAAUGCCACCAAAAAGAGAUAAGCUAAAUGCCACCAAAAAGAGAUAUGCUAAAUUAAUUAUGGUGCAGGCUCAUACUGGAAUACUAUGCAGUCAUGAAGAGAGAAGGCACUAUCUCACAGGGAUGAAUAUCCAAGAUGGACCAUUAACUGAGAAAAGCAAGAGACCAAGAAUUUUGAUGCCACACAAAUGGUGUUUUUGUUUGUUUGUUUGUUUGUUUUUUGCGGUAUGAGGGCCUCUCACUGCUGUGGCCUCUCCCGUUGCGGAGUAUAGGCUCCGGAUGUGCAGGCUCAGCGGCCAUGGCUCACGGGCCCAGCCGCUCCACGGCAUGUGGGAUCUUCCCGGACCGGGGCACGAACCCGUGUCCCCUGCAUCGGCAGGCGGACUCUCAACCACUGCGCCACCAGGGAAGCCUACAAAUGGUUUUUAAAACAGAUGGAGACACAUGUAUUUGACUACGCAUAGAAAGUGUUCAGGAGGGACCAGACCAAACCAAACCGUAGUUACCUUUAGAAAUUGAGAAGAGGUGUGUGUGUGUGUGUGUGUGAGAGAGAGAGGGAGAGAGAGGGAGGGAGGGAGGGAGAGAUGGAGGAGGUAAUUAUUAUUUUUUUCAAAAAGAAUGUAUUAAAUUUAUAAUAAAACUUAGAAAAAAUAGGGGGGCCAGGAACCACCUGUAUGGUCCACCAAGAGCACACCCUCCUUUGUCUGCCCCUGUGUCUUCCCUUUCUUGCUGUGAUCUUUCCCCAUCUGCCACUCUUCCUUUGCUCAGUUCUGAGCAGAUGACCCCCUCUUCCCACCUUUACUCAUUUCUAAACUCUGAGGAUCUGAAUGAUGUCUCUACCUUGUGACUCUUGCCAAAGCCAGCAGUAAAACAUGUACCAUACUUGUAACCUGACCUUCACCUGGAGUGGUUCACGUUAGUCACCUACCCGGAAAGGAUGUGUAUGGCUUGCAGGCAUUACCCAUGACAUACUGGCCCAACCUCUCUGAAGGUUUAAUCAGGUCUGCACGGUGAGAAAUUGUGCUCAUGUAGUGCAAAGUGAAAUUGGAUAAUUGGACAAUUUGUUUAAAUAAAACAACUUCAUCCCGUUGCCUGAAA